rnacentral:siRNA from 1 species
AUGCGGUUGAUGAAUACCUCC